CUCGCCUGGGAACUACGAGCAUUAGCUUAAAACCCAAAGGACUUGGCGGUGCUUUAGAUCCACCUAGAGGAGCCUGUUCUAGAACCGAUAACCCCCGUUCAACCUCACCCUUUCUGGUCUUUCCCGCCUAUAUACCACCGUCGUCAGCUUACCCUAUGAAGGCCUUAUAGUAAGCAAAACUGGCAAAGCCUAAAACGUCAGGUCGAGGUGUAGCGCAUGAAAGGGGAAGAAAUGGGCUACAUUCACUGAUGCAGUGAACACGAACGAUAGCCUGAAAUAACUAUCUAAAGGAGGAUUUAGCAGUAAGGAGGAAAAUAGAGCGUUCCCCUGAAACUGGCCCUGAAGCGCGCACACACCGCCCGUCACUCUCCCCAAACCCACUGAAUACAAGUAAAUAACACACAAAAGACACAAAGGGGAGGCAAGUCGUAACAUGGUAAGUGUACCGGAAGGGGCACUUGGAAAAC
rnacentral:rRNA from 1 species